UCCCACGUUUGGCGGGAUGCCCUUUUUCUUAAACUCCCCAACCCCCAAAUUAGUCUCUCUCUCUCUCUGCUCCCGUCUUCGAUCUUUAAUUAUCUCUUUCAUGGCGAGAUUUCGACCGCGAGCUCUCGAUCGAUUGUGAGUAGUUCGGUUGUCGUUGGUAACGAUUGUCGCGGGGCAUUCUUGAUGAUGAUUGGUGUGGCUUCGCUUGAACGGCAAGCAGCAGAUCCAGGAGUAGGAUGUUUAUGACAUCUGUGGUUGUUUCGGGAAGAUACAACCGGGCUUUGGUUAGGAUUGUAGGUUAAAAUGCUUACAUUAUGUGCUCCAGUUCCGCUGAUUCUCAGGAAAGGGCAUUAAUUGGAAAAAAAGUGCAAUUUUUUGCUGAUAAUUAGCUGAUCGUGCACGAUGUCGCGGAUUCCCAAGUUGAAGAUUGAAAAGACUAAAGUGAAAGUGGUUUUUCGUCUACAGUUCCACGCUACACACGUAAGCUUUGGAUUUUGUA